CAGCAGCCGCGGUAAUACGAGGGGGGCAAGCGUUGUUCGGAAUUAUUGGGCGUAAAGGGCGCGUAGGCGGUUUGACAAGUCUUGUGUGAAAUCUCUGGGCUCAACCCAGAGUCUGCACGGGAAACUGUCGGGCUAGAGGAUGGGAGAGGUGAGUGGAAUUUCCGGUGUAGCGGUGAAAUGCGUAGAUAUCGGAAGGAACACCUGUGGCGAAAGCGGCUCACUGGACCAUUACUGACGCUGAGGCGCGAAAGCUAGGGGAGCAAACAGGAUUAGAUACCCGUGUAGUCCCUGUCUCUUAUAC
rnacentral:rRNA from 1 species